rnacentral:rRNA from 1 species
GACGAACGGCUGGCGGCGUGCCUAACACAUGCAAGUCGAGCGGGGUUGAAGCGAGGGGUAACUCGAGUUUCUACCUAGCGGCGGACGGGUGAGUAACGCGUGGGCAACCUGCCUCAAGGACUGGGAUAACAGCUCGAAAGGGCUGCUAAUACCGGAUAAGCCUAUGGCCUCGCAUGGGGCCAUGAGCAAAGGGGAAACCCGCCUUGAGAUGGGCCCGCGUCCCAUCAGCUAGUUGGUGAGGUGAAGGCUCACCAAGGCGACGACGGGUAGCCGGCCUGAGAGGGUGACCGGCCACACUGGGACUGAGACACGGCCCAGACUCCUACGGGGGGCAGCAGUGGGGAAUCUUGCACAAUGGGCGAAAGCCUGAUGCAGCGACGCCGCGUGAGCGAAGAAGGCCUUCGGGUUGUAAAGCUCUGUCUGGAGGGACGAAGGAAGUGACGGUACCUCCGGAGGAAGCCACGGCUAACUACGUG